rnacentral:lncRNA from 1 species
AGAAGCUUUGAUUGAAUAUGAUAUGAUCACCCAAUGUACUAGUAAUCUGUUACAACCAAGUAUAGACGAGUAACCCAUGAGUUCCCCAAAAAGACAUCGACAUAAGAAGUUCAAUGCACAAAAUUUCAAAAGUUACAAAUCGUAAUAAAACCCAAAAAAGAAGACUUAGCAAAAUAAUUGAUUUCGCCUUUUCCACAGAGUAAUAUGAUCCAAGAAGCAAAGCCUCUGCCAAGCAAAUUACCAGCAUAUCAGGAUAUCUUCGCCUUAGAGAAGUCCAUUUCUGGAUGCUGCAGCACAUCAAGAACAACAUGAGUCAAGCAAGCUGACGAGAACUAGAUAAAGGAGACAACAAACAAUACAUGAAAUCAACUUUACCUCUGCCAUAAAUUUCUUGAGAAUUUCUUGUUUCUGUGUCUCAUCACUUGUUGGAAGACCCAUUGAUUUCUGUCGCUGAUCAAACUGCAAAAAGCAUUUCCCAUCAAGCAAAUAGAAGUAACUAAAAUCAAGCAAAUAGAAGUAACGAAAAUCAUACACAAUACCACAAGGAAUAAAUUACAACAAAGGGGAUAUCAUGAAGAAGCAACUAAAGUUGUAGGAGGCAAGACAAUUAACAUUCCAAAUAGAUGGUCCAUACAAAGAUAAAACACAUAACCUUCUACCUCAUAACCUCAUAAGUCAUACCAAUUACCAAGUGUGAGUCAAUUGGUUAGUUACCAACAUAAGCUUCAGGGAUAUCACAGGAUACCCCAUAUCCCCCAAGCAAGAAACAACAAAAAUUAAUGAAUCUUAAUGGGGAUAAACUACAAAGAUAUCGGAAUCUGAAAUAACCCUUUUUACUAAUCCAAGCUAUCAAUUUGGCACAGAAAAUUUUACAAAUUCAUGAAGCUUAGGCCUACGCAACACAUCAAACCCAGCGGAAUACCACUAGUGGGGACGCUAUGGCCUAUGCGAAGUGUAUUAAUUUCUGGAGUACUUCCCAGAUAGUGCUUACACAAAAAACUUCAAAAUUUAUGUAGAAACACUUAAUCAAGUUUUUUGUACACUUAAUUUGUGAGGUGCAAGUGUAGGCAACAAUGUUUAGAAUUAAGCUUCAAGAAAAAGUUUUACAACUUGAUAUAAUAGAAGGCAUUACUUUGGAUCAUAAGAAGGGCACACAAAAUUGCUAGCCUUAAAAAUAUAGGUAUGCCAAAACUGGUCCAAACUAAAACUGACAUCCCAGAGUCUUACAACCACCUCAAAGAGUGUUUUAAAGACAAGCACAUAAUUCCACAUUCAAAUUUGAACAAUAUGUUUUUAAUGUCAAAUGCACUACUCCACUCACAAGAAGGCCUCAUCAGAAACAGUACUAAGGAUCUGUUAUUGGACAUAGGAUAAUGAACAGCCCAUAAAUCAUAACGUACAUGAUAUGCACAAAGCAUGCCAAACCCUACCAUGAGAAUUAGGUAAAAAAAUCACGCAAGCAAUUAUGUCAACAAAGAGCAAGAUUCAAAGUGAGCAUGAAACUAUAAUGAUCUCUAUGAAUUCUAAAAUGUUGAUUGACAAAUAAAAUCCUACCAUCAUCUUUUCCACAGUUGAUCGCGUCUCGGGGUCCAAAUCUGCUAGCUUGCUACUUUCAGGUUCUGCUUUCUGUGUAUCAAUUUCAGGCUCACCUUUUACACAACACUUCCACCAGUCCAUCUGAUCCUUCUUGGUUAG